rnacentral:sRNA from 1 species
AAAACCCCCCAAAAAAAU